AAAGGUAAAAUGAAGAAGUAAGAAACAGAAAAAGAUAAAAGCUUGAAGACGUUAAAGGUAUUCAGUUCCUAAUCGUAGCAUAGUGGUUAAUGCGACCUUCAAGGGAAUCACGUAGAAUUCCGUCCGUCUCACCAGGUGGUCAGCCUGUGGCAAACAGGAGGCACCCUGACCAGUCUGGUGAAGACAAUAUCAAGCAUUUUUUUAGCAGAUCAGAAGAAAGAACACAGGAAAGCAAUUAUACAAAAAUGGUGUGAAGAAAUAUGACUCUUUUUCAUAGCUUCACAGUUGUGUUCAAUGGAAGUUUAGUAGCUGAAUCAAAAGCAAAACAAAAACUACUUCUCUUCCAGUUCUACCGAGAACUGAACAAAGAUCAAAUGAGGAUAUUUGCCAAAACUAAAGAGAAGCGCUGAAUAAAAUCAAUGUACUGGGCUUUUGCUGCUUCAAUGAAACUGUUGUCUUGUCUGUUGUACAUCUUUUUUUUCUGUUGUCAAACUUUAACUUUGAUCAUAAAUUGAAUUGAAUAGAAAUAAGCCAGGUUCCCGACUAGACUUGAAUGUCAAACUCAAUCUAAAUCCGACUUGAAGGAACAUUUCUGUGUGAAGCAUAACAAUUUCUACUAUCCUUCGUAUUUUUUACGAAUUGCAAAAAACACACGCGAAAAACUAUCCAAAUUUUCUGAAAAUCAAAUGUGUGUAAAUCAUUACUGAAAACAAGUUUGACCAUUAACAGUUGAACCCUGAAUUUAUCAAGAAA